GCCCAUGGAGGGUGCUAGGCCCGUAUGUCAGUGCGUCUCGUCCGUAGAGUCGGGUUGCUUGGGAGUGCAGCCCAAAUACGGUGGUAAACUCCAUCUAAGGCUAAAUAUGACCACGAGACCGAUAGCAAACAAGUACCGUGAGGGAAAGUGAAAAGAACUUUGAAGAGAGAGUUAAAUAGUACGUGAAACCUCUCGGGGGUAAGCGGGCAGAACUUGCAAGUUAAUUCAGGCUUAGGUGCGGAUUGGCAGGUGUGUGCUCUUUUGCGCCGCAUUUAUCGUUGCAUGUGAUAGUUUAGGUGCUGGGUAACUGCGAAGCCUUGUUCGAGUCUUUCCCUACUGCUCGGUAGAACAGGCGUUUGCGGUCAACUGCUUGGACGAGUUGUGUGCGUAUGAUGUGUAGACGUCUGAUUGUCGGUGGCUCUGUUGCCUAAUGCAUGCGUGGUCUGCCUGUCCCGUCUUGAAACACGGACCAAGGAGUCUAACAUGUAUGCGAGUCAUUGGG
rnacentral:rRNA from 1 species